rnacentral:rRNA from 1 species
UACGAAGGGGCCUAGCGUUGUUCGGAAUCACUGGGCGUAAAGCGCACGUAGGCGGAUUCGUAAGUCAGGGGUGAAAUCCCGGGGCUCAACCUCGGAACUGCCUUUGAUACUGCGGGUCUUGAGUCCGAUAGAGGUGGGUGGAAUUCCUAGUGUAGAGGUGAAAUUCGUAGAUAUUAGGAAGAACACCGGUGGCGAAGGCGGCCCGCUGGAUCGGUACUGACGCUGAGGUGCGAAAGCGUGGGGAGCAAACAGG